rnacentral:lncRNA from 1 species
CACACUGGUAGGGAGGCCAUGGUGGGUGCUCCUGAGCCUGGAAAAGAAGAGGAGGAGAGAGCCUUGUCUUCCAAAGGGGGAAAUGCACCAUGUGGAGUACUGGGGACCUGCUCAGUUUUCCAGCCAGAGAUCACCAAACUUUGCUGUGCUUCCCAAACUCCAGAUCCUAAAAAUCCCUUGGGACCUUGCACCUUGAUCCUCUGCACCCAGAACUGUGUCUCCCAGCCGUGCUCCAGAGAUUUCUGUCCUGCGAGACUCAACUCGAGAGGAGUCUCCCUCUUUCUUUACCUGAGAAAGAUGAGGCAAGAUACAGACAUGUGAAUCUCCAUUUUGUCUCAUAAGCAAUUAGCUGAACUGUGUCCGUGUGGCUCCAUCCAGAGAAAUGCCUGCUGCUUUGCCAGACACGAGUUCAAGUUUCCUACCUCUCCACAGACCUCUGGGAGAAGGAGCACUGGGGGCACAGCUCCAUCCUGGCCAUCUCCAGGGCCCAUGGCCACAGCUCUCAUGCUUCGCUAUCCCUGUGGCCAUCAUACUUCUGCUCCUCUCUAGCAGUUAACUCCUCCCUUUGGAUGAAAAUUCCUUUUCCCAAGGAAUUGCUGUAAAUGUUUUCAACAGAUUCAGAACAUUGCAGCAGCCAUGAAAAGACAUAAAGCAGGACUUUUAGAAUCAGAAAGUCGCAAGAACCAUAAAAUAAGUGUGUUUGGGGUGAGGGGGAGGAUUUUUUAGGGGAGAAAAGGUGUACUGGCCCCAACUUUACCAAGCCAGCCUCAUCCUCCUUCAAGACACAGCAAGAUUUGCAGGGGUGCUCAGCUGCUGGCCUCAGCUUCCUGUCCAGACACCAUGGAGUGACACCCAGAGAUCCCCUAGACCUGCAUCCUGAGACUUCAGGAGAAACAGGGCCUUGUGGACCAAUUUGUGCUGAGUAUUCCCUGACCCCCGAGCAGGAGCAGUAAUCUCAGAGGAACUUGAUUUUCACCUGUGGCCACAAGGACCUCUCACCUCGAAGAAAUAGUCCAGGGAAAACCACCAACCAGGCCAGAGCUUGACUGCAUUAAACUCUGCAGGCACAUA